AGAUUGUCGUGCGGACACCUCCUCAAUAAGUCCUUAAACCUAUCCCAAGUCUCAAAUAAGCACUCAGUGUCUAACUACCUGAAUAAUGUAAUCUCUUGUCUCAAUUU